UCUUCCACGAUGGGUGCAAACCUGAUGGAGCAAUGCCGCGUGAGUGAAGAAGGUCUUCGGAUCGUAAAGCUCUGUUGUUAGAGAAGAACACGUGCUAGGUAACUACUAGCGCCUUGACGGUAUCUAACCAGAAAGUCACGGCUAACUACGUGCCAGCAGCCGCGGUAAUACGUAGGUGACAAGCGUUGUCCGGAUUUAUUGGGCGUAAAGGGAGCGCAGGCGGUCUGUUUAGUCUAAUGUGAAAGCCCACGGCUUAACCGUGGAACGGCAUUGGAAACUGACAGACUUGAAUGUAGAAGAGGAAAAUGGAAUUCCAAGUGUAGCGGUGGAAUGCGUAGAUAUUUGGAGGAACACCAGUGGCGAAGGCGAUUUUCUGUCUAACAUUGACGCUGAGGCCGAA
rnacentral:rRNA from 1 species